ensembl:lncRNA
GUUGGGAGCACAACCAGCAGGGCAUUUCCCUCCAUGCUGCAGAAGGGAGCAGGAUGUGUGCUUGUACCUCUGCAGGAUGCCUUUGCCUUUUCAGGAUGACAAGAUGCCUUGCUCUGGUUUUCUACAGGAAUUCUUUUCCAGUGUGGAUCCUAGCCCUUGCUGUUCAUCCUCUAAAUGAGAUUAUUAUAAUGCCUCUGUGAAGUGGCAGUGUCUCAGUUCCUGGGAGGGUCCUCCCUGAGCAGCAGGAAACAUCAGCAUGGCUGCCAGCACAGGGAGCUGAGACUUCCAUUUCAGCACCAUCGCUGGACUCUUAAAAUAUUUAUAGGAACGAAUGGCUUUGACAGGCUGCACUGACAUGCACAGAAGGAAGACGUGGUUCAGGCUGCUUUAAAAUGUCUCUUAUUGGAGCCCACGCUCCAUUCCUUAUUCAAGCAGAAGUCCCAGUAGCCCCAGCAGCAGGAGGUGCUUGGGGUUGUGCCUUUGGGUUCUUCCACACUGAGCAGUAUAGAUGUGCUAUGGGGCUCCAGCAGUAUGCUCAUGCCAGCAGUGCCCAUCCCGUGCCCGCUCUGUCCUGGUGCCUCUGAGGUAUCGCGCCUCCUGUUCCCACCACUCUGUCCCCACUGUGCUGCAGUGCCACCACACUGCUUUCAGAGCCCGCCUGCGCGAGCGUGUCUCGCACAUGCGUGGCCCUGCAGCCCCUCGGGAGGAGGAAUGCUUUGUCUGUGCAUCCGGAUGGGGUUAGGUGUGAGAUAUGCACUCAGCCCUGUCAGGAGCAAAAGGCUUCCAGCGCAUGUGUGCAGCAGAGCUUCAGGCACCUCAGAGCCUUCCCUGGUGCUGAGGACUGCAUGGUAAAAACAACAUGAAAGAGAGAGUUUGCAUUCAAACACCAGAUUUCCACCUAAUCCCCAGUGAUGGCACGUCUGUGAUCUGGACUUGUGUCUCAGUUACGUCAUAGGAGUUCUCUGGGUGUAGACGACGUGAAGCAUUGCAGUGACUCUUACAAAGUACUGUGUCUCAGAAUCAUCACAACAUCUAAGUUUUCCUCAAGAUUCACUGCGGCAGAGAGAAAUGAGCACACACACAUCAAUAUGCAGUACGUACCACUGCACACAGCGGUGCGUAAAUGGGUGCACAGACACCUCCUGCUCUAUGCCUAUAAUUCUCCUAAAUAUUGUGGGGUGAAGGAAUGAAAAAGUUUCUGAAGAAUGGUAGAAAUUUGUCGUCGUUAGGAUAUAGCACAAACUCCUGGUUCCACCCUAAACAGAAACUUCCUUUAAUUUCUUAACGAAAAUGUUUAGAAGACCGGUUUCUUGAAUGCUCAUGCAGAGCCGAAUGGUCUUAAUUUCACUUCCUGCCUCCACUCUCAGACAGUGCAAAGCCUGAAAAUCUUCCUUGGUCUCCCAUCACAGCCCAUCUCGCAUCCCGCUGCGUCUCCGGCCCCGGAGAGCCCCGGGGCCACCCGCAAUGGCCGAGCAGGAGGGCGGCGGGGGGACGUGGGCCCCGACGUUUGCCGGCCGGGCUGAGCAGCGGGCUGGCGGGGCCGGUGGCUGCCAGCAGGUGAGGUGCCGCUUGCAAGGCUGCCUCGGAGAGGGAUGUUGGACCGGUGCCCGGGUUGCGCGGCAAAGUGGCAGAAGACGAGUUAAGUCUGGAGAGGCCCCAAAAGAUAAUUGAAACCACCCCUGGAUGACAAUGGCUAUUAACUCGCAGCUCGUCCUCGCGUCCCAUGGAGGAGCAAAGGCAGCGGGCGGCUCCCCGGGAUGGCUUCGGGACGCCGCGGGUGCGCAGCCCGCCCGGAGCUCCCGAGUGCUUCUGCUGCCCCGCGUCCGGGGGGCUCGGGCUGCCGGGCGGAGGGCAGGGAGCACCAGGAAACGUGGCUUGACAGACGGGCUCGCGAGCCGCCCAUGUGCGCUCCACAUUGCUAUCGCGUGCCCUUUGAUGUCGGGUUCGGCUCAUGGGAAGGCGCGGGGCCGGAUCCUCACCCGGUGACGGCCGCUGCCAGCCCCGAGCACCGCACCGCAGCCCCGCUCUGGGCAGACACUCCUGCAGCGCGCACAGGGCGCUUUUCCAUUUCUUCCUUUUCUUCCUUUUUUUCCUUUUUUUCCUUUUCUUCCUUUUUUUUUUUUUUUCCUUUUCCCUGUUUGCCUUUUUAUUUUCACGCUUUUCCUCUCUUUAGUUUUGCUUUUCUUUUUUCUUUUUCCUUCUUUUUCUUUUCCUUUUUCUAUUACUUUCCCUUUUUCUUUCUUGCUCUUUUCCUCCUUUUUCUCCUUCGUCUUUUCCUUUCCCUCCUUUUCUGCUUUUACCUUUACAUUUUCUCCUUUCUUUCUUUUUCGCCUUCUUUUUCUUUUUUCCGCUUUUCUCCUUUUUUUCCUCCUUUUUCUUUUAUUUUCUUUUUGUUCCUUCUUUUUUUUCUAUUUUUUCUUUCCUAUUUUCUUUUUUCCCCUUUGUUUUUCCUUCUUUUCUUUUUUUCUUUCUUCCACUGCCCCCCAUCCAUCCCCUCCACCUCUGCCCC